rnacentral:rRNA from 1 species
GACGAACGCUGGCGGCGUGCUUAACACAUGCAAGUCGAACGGAAAGGCCCUGCUUUUGUGGGGUGCUCGAGUGGCGAACGGGUGAGUAACACGUGAGUAACCUGCCCUUGACUUUGGGAUAACUUCAGGAAACUGGGGCUAAUACCGGAUAGGAGCUCCUGCUGCAUGGUGGGGGUUGGAAAGUUUCGGCGGUUGGGGAUGGACUCGCGGCUUAUCAGCUUGUUGGUGGGGUAGUGGCUUACCAAGGCUUUGACGGGUAGCCGGCCUGAGAGGGUGACCGGCCCCAUUGGGACUGAGAUGCGGCCCAGACUCCUACGGGGGGCAGCGGUGGGGAAUAUUGCACAAUGGGCGGAGGCCUGAUGCAGCAACGCCGCGUGCGGGAUGACGGCCUUCGGGUUGUAAACCGCUUUCGCCUGUGACGAAGCGUGAGUGACGGUAAUGGGUAAAGAAGCACCGGCUACCUACGU